UUGGAACCUGCUGACACACUCGAGGAUUUGGAUGCACUUCUGCUUCAUGAACAAAUUGUUGCAGUAUUGAAAAAGCAAGAAGAUGCCACCCUAAUUAGCACAAUUCGCGGGAUGUUGAAAAAACUCCUCAGGAGGGACCUUGCUGUGAAGUUCUCAUUCACCGGGCUUAACUGCAAGCGCGAGAAGACCAAGGUCUGCUUUAGAGAGCACAACAUAUAUUCGGUUCUAAAAAGAAGUCUGAAUGAGACGACAUUUUGUCAAGCAAGUCGAGUUGCCGUGGAGAAAUCCAUUAAGGAAGUACUGAAGAACGCCAGCGACUGGGAGGGACACCGCGGAGGACGCAGAAGCGGGAAACCACCAGCAGACCCAUCAACCACCGUUCAACAAGUCGUUUUUCGUCAGCUUUCUCAGGAACCCGCAUUGCUCGACGAGAGCGUUGCAGCACAAGACCUUAG